rnacentral:rRNA from 1 species
CGCCUUGCCAGCCCGCUCAGAAACUUAAAUGAAUUGACGGGGGCCCGCACAAGCGGCGGAGCAUGUGGAUUAAUUCGAUGCAACGCGAAGAACCUUACCUGGGUUUGACAUACACCGGAAAACCGUAGAGAUACGGUCCCCCUUGUGGUCGGUGUACAGGUGGUGCAUGGCUGUCGUCAGCUCGUGUCGUGAGAUGUUGGGUUAAGUCCCGCAACGAGCGCAACCCUUGUCUUAUGUUGCCAGCACGUGAUGGUGGGGACUCGUAAGAGACUGCCGGGGUCAACUCGGAGGAAGGUGGGGACGACGUCAAGUCAUCAUGCCCCUUAUGUCCAGGGCUUCACACAUGCUACAAUGGCCAGUACAGAGGGCUGCGAGACCGUGAGGUGGAGCGAAUCCCUUAAAGCUGGUCUCAGUUCGGAUCGGGGUCUGCAACUCGACCCCGUGAAGUCGGAGUCGCUAGUAAUCGCAGAUCAGCAACGCUGCGGUGAAUACGUUCCCGGGCCUU